AGAGUUUGAUCAUGGCUCAGAUUGAACGCUGGCGGCAUGCCUUACACAUGCAAGUCGAACGGCAGCAUGAUCUAGCUUGCUAGAUUGAUGGCGAGUGGCGAACGGGUGAGUAAUACAUCGGAACGUGCCCUGUAGUGGGGGAUAACUAGUCGAAAGAUUAGCUAAUACCGCAUACGACCUGAGGGUGAAAGUGGGGGACCGCAAGGCCUCAUGCUAUAGGAGCGGCCGAUGUCUGAUUAGCUAGUUGGUGGGGUAAAGGCCCACCAAGGCGACGAUCAGUAGCUGGUCUGAGAGGACGAUCAGCCACACUGGGACUGAGACACGGCCCAGACUCCUACGGGAGGCAGCAGUGGGGAAUUUUGGACAAUGGGGGCAACCCUGAUCCAGCAAUGCCGCGUGUGUGAAGAAGGCCUUCGGGUUGUAAAGCACUUUUGUCCGGAAAGAAAUCGCUCUGGUUAAUACCUGGGGUGGAUGACGGUACCGGAAGAAUAAGGACCGGCUAACUACGUGCCAGCAGCCGCGGUAAUACGUAGGGUCCAAGCGUUAAUCGGAAUUACUGGGCGUAAAGCGUGCGCAGGCGGUUGUGCAAGACCGAUGUGAAAUCCCCGGGCUUAACCUGGGAAUUGCAUUGGUGACUGCACGGCUAGAGUGUGUCAGAGGGGGGUAGAAUUCCACGUGUAGCAGUGAAAUGCGUAGAGAUGUGGAGGAAUACCGAUGGCGAAGGCAGCCCCCUGGGAUAACACUGACGCUCAUGCACGAAAGCGUGGGGAGCAAACAGGAUUAGAUACCCGAGUAGUC
rnacentral:rRNA from 1 species